rnacentral:tRNA from 1 species
GGGGAUAUAGCUCAGUUGGUAGAGUGCUUGCUUCACAUGCACAAAUCUUGGGUUCAAUCCCCAGUACCA